UCUAGCUCGGUGUGGGUGAGCAUCAGCCAAUUCCUUGAGGGCCUGAACAGAACAAAAGGCAGAGGGAGGAGAAAUUUGCCCCUUUGCUUCCUGCCGUGUACUUGAGCUGGGACAUCAGUCUUCUCCUGCCCUUGGACUGGGAUUUACACCCUCAGCCUCUGGUUCUCAGGCCUUCAGACUUGGACUGGAAUUAUGCUGUCGGUCUCCUCUCCAGUUUGCAGACAGCAGAUCAUGGGACUUGAUCUGCUCAGCCUCAAUAAUCACGGUCUUGCUCUGUUGCCCAGGCUGGAGUUCAGUGACAUGAUUACAGCUCACCGUGCCUUAAACUUCUGGGCCCAAGCAGUCCUCCAAACUCAGCCUCCCAAGAAGCUGAUAUUACAGGGAGACAGAGAGCAAACACUUAACCCAUGGGAGGAUACGGGCCAGCGCUGUAAGGGUUUCCCCCACGAACUUGGCGGGAAAGAGGAUGGAGGGGAAACAAUGGACUGAAAAAGAGGCCUAGAGAAAGGCCCUCGACUGUGCACAAGGAAACUGCAAGACUGUUCAUUCUGCCCGUUUGUAAAAAAGAACUGAAAACAACCGAAAUGCUCUCACAGGAGAAAUGGAUCAAUAAAUUGUGGUACAUUCCUACAGUGGAAUACAAUUUAGCAGUGAGAAAGUGAACGAGUUACUUACAUCGAUGAGGAUGAAUCUUAAAAACAUAUUGCUGAGCUUAAGGAAGCAAGUUUCACAGGAUACCUGUAAUAUGAAAACAUUCGUAAAAAUAUAGCGUAAGGAUUUAAAAAUUCAUGGCAAUUAAAAAAACUCAACAUAUCAUCUUCUUUUUCUUUUUAAAGGAAAGAAAGAAAAUGCAUGCUCAGGCCAUACCCUAAGUUCAGGGGAAUGGUUACCUCUUAGGAGGGAAGCAAGGGAGUGAAUCUGAGGAGGCCUGACUGUGUUGGGCUAACUGUAAUGUUUAAUUUUUUAACUGUAAUGUUUAAUUUUUACUCAUGCUAUUGUCAGAGAUCCUUUUAGUAUACCUGAAAUAGUUCAUUAAAAAGUGAAAGGGGGAUAGAGGAGAGCUGGGCUGCUGUUUUUUCCAUGGGAUCAGUUGACCCUUUCAGGGAAGCAAGAAUGUUUAUGGGACAGCAUUGAUGGACAGUUCAAAAAACAAGACUCCAGAACCAGUUCUGCAUCUCUCAGGAUCCAAGUGAUCAUCAGUGAGCCAUUCCCUUUCCUGGGUC